GAUGAACGCUGGCGGCGUGCCUAAUACAUGCAAGUCGAGCGAACGGACGAGAAGCUUGCUUUUCUGAUGUUAGCGGCGGACGGGUGAGUAACACGUGGAUAACCUACCUAUAAGACUGGGAUAACUUCGGGAAACCGGAGCUAAUACCGGAUAAUAUUUUGAACCGCAUGGUUCAAAAGUGAAAGACGGUCUUGCUGUCACUUAUAGAUGGAUCCGCGCUGCAUUAGCUAGUUGGUAAGGUAACGGCUUACCAAGGCAACGAUGCAUAGCCGACCUGAGAGGGUGAACGGCCACACUGGCACUGCGACACGGUCCAGCCUCCUACGGGCGGCAGCAGUAGGGAAUCUUCCGCAAUGGGCGCAAGCCUGACGGAGCAACGCCGCGUGAGUGAUGAAGGUCUUCGGAUCGUAAAACUCUGUUAUUAGGGAAGAACAUAUGUGUAAGUAACUGUGCACAUCUUGACGGUACCUAAUCAGAAAGCCACGGCUAACUACGUG
rnacentral:rRNA from 1 species